CUGGCCCUUUUAGGGUCCGAGUUGUAAUUUGCAGAGGGCGCUUUGGCAUUGGCAGCGGUCCAAGUUCCUUGGAACAGGACGUCACAGAGGGUGAGAAUCCCGUACGUGGUCGCUAUCCUUUGCUGUGUAAAGCCCCUUCGACGAGUCGAGUUGUUUGGGAAUGCAGCUCUAAAUGGGAGGUAAAUUUCUUCUAAAGCUAAAUACUGGCCAGAGACCGAUAGCGCACAAGUAGAGUGAUCGAAAGAUGAAAAGCACUUUGGAAAGAGAGUCAAAUAGCACGUGAAAUUGUUGAAAGGGAAGCGCUUGCAGCCAGACUUGCCUGUAGUUGCUUAUCUGGACUUUUGUCCAGUGCACUCUUCUGCAGGCAGGCCAGCAUCAGUUUGGGCGGUUGGAUAAAGGUCUCUGUCAUGUACCUCUUUUCGGGGAGGCCUUAUAGGGGAGACGACAUGCAACCAGCCCAGACUGAGGUCCGCGCAUCUGCUAGGAUGCUGGCGUAAUGGCUGUAAGCGGCCCGUCUUGAAACACGGACCAAGGAGUCUAACAUCUAUGCGAGUGUUUGGGUGUCAAGCCCAGACGCGUAAUGAAAGUGAACGGAGGUGGGAACCCUUUGGGUGCACCAUCGACCGAUCCUGAUGUCUUCGGAAGGAUUUGAGUAAGAGCAUGGCUGUUGGGACCCGAAAGAUGGUGAACUAUGCUUGAAUAGGGUGAAGCCAGAGGAAACUCUGGUGGAGGCUCGCAGCGGUUCUGACGUGCAAAUCGAUCGUCAAAUUUGGGCAUAGGGGCGAAAGACUAAUCGAACUAUCUAGUAGCUGGUUCCUGCCGAAGUUUCCCUCAGGAUAGCAGUAACGUAUUCAGUUUUAUGAGGUAAAGCGAAUGAUUAGAGGCCUGGGGGGUUGAAACAACCUUCACCUAUUCUCAAACUUUAAAUAUGUAAGAAGUCCUUGUUACUUGAUUGAACGUGGACAUUUGAAUGUACCGUUACUAGUGGGCCAUUUUUGGUAAGCAGAACUGGCGAUGCGGGAUGAACCGAACGCGGGGUUAAGGUGCCAGAAUAUACGCUCAUCAGACACCACAAAAGGUGUUAGUUCAUCUAGACAGCAGGACGGUGGCCAUGGAAGUCGGAAUCCGCUAAGGAGUGUGUAACAACUCACCUGCCGAAUGAACUAGCCCUGAAAAUGGAUGGCGCUCAAGCGUAUUACCCAUACCCCGCCGCCAGGGCAGAAUUUA
rnacentral:rRNA from 1 species